UUCAAAGAGUGCGUAACAGCUCACUGGUCGAGUGGACAUGCGCCGACAAUACACGGGGCUAAGCUGGACACCGAAGCGGCGGGAUUUUGAUUUUCGGAAUCGGUAGGGGAGCUUCCCAUGGGCGGAGAAGCCGGAGGGCGACCGACGGUGGAGCGCAUGGGAGUGAGAAUGCUGGCAUGAGUAGCGAGAGACGAGAGAGUAACUCGUCCGCCGUGAACCCGAGGUUUCCUGGGCAAGGCUAAUCCUCCCAGGGUCAGUCGGGGGCUAAGGCGAGGCCGGUAGGCGUAGCCGACGCGCAGCAGGCAGACAUUCCUGCACCGCGCACGCGGCGCUACGACCGACGGGGCGACGGAUGGGGGUGGCUCGGCGGGGUUCUGGACGUCCCCGUGAUGGAGCGCGGCCCGCGGACCAGGGAAAUCCGGUCCGCAUCGAGGGCGAGGCUCCGGACGAAGCGACUGAGCGAAGCGAGUGAGCCCGAGGUCCCUAGAAAAACCCCUAGGCAGGCGCGUGCGCGCCCGUACCGCAAACCGACACAGGUGGGUGGGUAGAACAUACCGAGGCGAUCGGGUCAACCAUGGUCAAGGAACUCGGCACAAUGGCCCCGUAACUUCGGGAGAAGGGGUGCCCGCGCGUACGUGAACGGACUUGCUCCGGGAGCGGAGGCGGGCCGCAGUGGAGAGGCCCAAGCGACUGUUUACCAAAAACACAGGACUCUGCAGAAGCCGCAAGGCGACGUAUAGGGUCUGACGCCUGCCCGGUGCCGGAAGGUCACGCGGAGGAGUUAGCCGAUUCGGCGAAGCCCCGAAGCCAAGCCCCGGUAAACGGCGGCCGUAACUAUAACGGUCCUAAGGUAGCGAAAUUCCUUGUCGGGUAAGUUCCGACCUGCACGAAAGGCGCAACGACUUGGGCGCUGUCUCGACCAUGGACCCGGUGAAAUUGCACUGGUCGUGAAGAUGCGACUUACCCGCGGAAGGACGGAAAGACCCCGUGAACCUUCACUGCAGCUUGGCAUUGGCCGCUGGUCCCGCGUGUAGAGGAUAGGCAGGAGGCAUCGAUCCGGAGGCGCCAGCCCCCGGGGAGCCGCCCUUGGAAUACUGCCCUCGCGCGACCGGCGUCCUAACCCGAGGCCGUCAACCGGCUCGGGGACCGUGCCAGGCGGGCAGUUUGACUGGGGCGGUCGCCUCCUAAAGGGUAACGGAGGCGCGCGAAGGUCCGCUCGGGACGGUCGGCAACCGUCCUUUUGAAUGCAAGAGUACAAGCGGGCUUGACUGCGAGGCCCACAAGCCGAGCAGGUGCGAAAGCAGGCUCUAGUGAUCCGGCGGCCCCGAGUGGGUGGGCCGUCGCUCAACGGAUAAAAGGUACUCCGGGGAUAACAGGCUGAUCUUGCCCAAGAGUCCACAUCGACGGCAAGGUUUGGCACCUCGAUGUCGGCUCAUCGCAUCCUGGGGCUGGAGCAGGUCCCAAGGGUACGGCUGUUCGCCGUUUAAAGCGGUACGCGAGCUGGGUUCAGAACGUCGUGAGACAGUUCGGUCCCUAUCCUCCG
rnacentral:rRNA from 1 species